rnacentral:rRNA from 1 species
GACAGAGGUGCCAAGCGUUAGGCGGAAUCACUGGGCUUAAAGCGUGUGUAGGCGGAGCGUUAAGUGCCUUGUGAAAUCCCCCGGCUCAACCGGGGAACUGCUGGGCAUACUGGCGUUCUUGAGCCAAUCAGGGGUCGUCGGAACAAACGGUGGAGCGGUGAAAUGCGUAGAUAUCGUUUGGAACGCCGAAGGCGAAAGCAGACGACUGGGAUUGGGCUGACGCUGAGACACGAAAGCCAGGGGAGCAAACGGGAUUAGAAACCCCCGUAGUCC